UACAGAGGGUGCGAGCGUUAAUCGGAAUUACUGGGCGUAAAGCGCGCGUAGGCGGCUUUGCAAGUCGGGUGUGAAAUCCCCAGGCUUAACCUGGGAACUGCAUUCGAGACUACAUUGCUAGAGUAUGGGAGAGGGAAGUGGAAUUUCCGGUGUAGCGGUGAAAUGCGUAGAUAUCGGAAGGAACAUCAGUGGCGAAAGCGACUUCCUGGACCAAUACUGACGCUCAUGUGCGAAAGCGUGGGGAGCAAACAGG
rnacentral:rRNA from 1 species